AGGGGUGAAUGAAAGUGGAGGGGGAUGCUGGGCUCUGGGGGAAGCGGAGAGCCGGGUUUAUUUUUACCGGGUGUUUUUGAGGCUCGAGAUUUAUUGAGCACUGACUGAGCCCUGUCAUAUUCCACAUCCUUGGCAGGGCACCGAAAAGGAUGACGCAACGAAUGCAGGCGACUCCUCGGAGAAGCUUGGCAGUGAGAGGGGUCAAGAGAGGGGGUUUGUUGGUCCUUAGCUUGUAAAGAUAGGAGAGGCUGGGAGAAAGGAGCCAGUGGAGAGGUGCCUGGGGAGGUGGGGUGCUCGGCAGGCGAUGCAGAACUCAGGAAAACUGAUUAAAUUUGGCCUAGAGGCGGGUCACCUGUUAUUCCACUAAAACGUUAGGAAAGAAGAACAUGCGUGCAGAUAUAUAGGGGAGAAGAAAAUCAGGAAGAUCGUUUGAUGACAUCGAUUUUAUGGGUGAACUUAUGAGACAAGGAAGGAGACCAAGAAGAGCGAAGAAACUUUGGAAGAGGACGCUGAAGUUGGAAGGCCUGGUUUCAAAUGCCUCAUGUAUGUCUUGAUGGAUCACUUUUUUCUACAACUCAGCCACCAGGCUGCAGUAGCAGAUACGUUGAAUUCUAGCAUUUGUCCAGGGCUUGGGAUUGUAUUGCCCAAAAUAAAUUGAGGGUGCUAUGAGACGACAGCCCAGGCCAUCAAACAUGGGAUGCAGACUGGCUAGGGACUGACGGAGGAGCCACGAAACUGCAGGUCUCUAAUAAUUGAAGGCCAGUGCAGUGCAGGCAAUGUUGUGAGAGCUUGGUGGUUAUAGUAGCAAACAGGUUCAUAGUGAAGUAGCACUAGGAGAUGAUAAAAGUCCAGGACAGGCCGGGCCUGGUGGCUCAUGCCUGUAAUCCCAGCACUUUGAGAGGCUGAGGCGGGUAAAUCACCUAAAGUCAGGAGUUCAAGACCAGCCUGGCCAACAUAGUGAAACCCCAUCUCUACUAAAAAUACAAAAUUAGCCGGGCAUGGUGGUGCACGCUUGUGAUCCCAGCUACUUGGGAAGCUGGGGCAGGAGAAUCGCUUGAACCUGGGAGGCGGAGGUUGCAGUGAGCCGAGAUUGUGCCACUGCACUCCAGGCUGGGCAACAGAGUAUGACUGUCUUUAAAAAAAAAAAAAAAAAAAAAAAAGUCCAGAGCCACAGAGGACUGAAGUGGAAGUGAGAAGCCAGGAAAAUUAGAUGUUGGGAUUUAGAGGUAGGAAAGGAAAGGAGCUUCAAGUGCUAAAAUCUUUGGCGAAUAUGGGGAGGACUAACUAUAUGAUUAGUUAGACAAUUGCAGAAUGGAGGACUAAACAGUAACAUAGCUGAAUAGAAUGAGACUUUUCUUGCUUUUCUGUUUUUUUUUUUGUUUUUUUUUUUCCAGAGAUGGAGUCUCUGUGUUGGCCAGGUUGGUCUUAAACUCCUGGUCUCAAGCAAUCCUCCCAAAGUACUGAGACUACAGGCAUGAACCACCAUGCCCAGCCUGGCAUGAGACCUUUUCAAAAAAGACUUUUACUCAAGGAAGAAUCAAAAGAAUGCAUCGAUAGUUCAGGAUUGCCGGGAAAGUGGUGGCCUUGGAGGACAGCCAGGAGUAAGAGAGAAAAGGUUGGAAGGAAGGAUCUGAAUUAGCUAUACUUGGUGGUGUAGGCUUUUAGUUGUUGCUACUUGGGAGGCUGAGGCUGGAGAAUCGCUUGAGUCCAGAACUUUGGGAUCGCAGUGAGCUGUAUCCUGCCGCUGCUACUGCAGCCUGGGUGACAGAGCAAGGCUCUGUCUCUAAAAAUAAA
ensembl:lncRNA